rnacentral:rRNA from 1 species
GCGCGGGGCAACCUGGCGGCGAGUGGCGAACGGGUGAGUAAUAUAUCGGAACGUACCCAGAAGUGGGGGAUAACGUAGCGAAAGUUACGCUAAUACCGCAUACGAUCUACGGAUGAAAGUGGGGGACCUUCGGGCCUCAUGCUUUUGGAGCGGCCGAUAUCUGAUUAGCUAGUUGGUGGGGUAAAGGCUCACCAAGGCGACGAUCAGUAGCUGGUCUGAGAGGACGACCAGCCACACUGGAACUGAGACACGGUCCAGACUCCUACGGGAGGCAGCAGUGGGGAAUUUUGGACAAUGGGCGCAAGCCUGAUCCAGCAAUGCCGCGUGAGUGAAGAAGGCCUUCGGGUUGUAAAGCUCUUUUGUCAGGGAAGAAACGGCUGCGGCUAAUAUCCGCGGCUAAUGACGGUACCUGAAGAAUAAGCACCGGCUAACUACGUGCCAGCAGCCGCGGUAAUACGUAGGGUGCAAGCGUUAAUCGGAAUUACUGGGCGUAAAGCGUGCGCAGGCGGUUUUGUAAGUCUGAUGUGAAAUCCCCGGGCUCAACCUGGGAAUUGCAUUGGAGACUGCAAGGCUGGAGUCUGGCAGAGGGGGGUAGAAUUCCACGUGUAGCAGUGAAAUGCGUAGAGAUGUGGAGGAACACCGAUGGCGAAGGCAGCCCCCUGGGUCAAGACUGACGCUCAUGCACGAAAGCGUGGGGAGCAAACAGGAUUAGAUACCCUGGUAGUCCACGCCCUAAACGAUGUCUACUAGUUGUC